UAAUGAGGUUGACAUUUUAGACUUCUAGAAGCCAAGCUCCUAAUCUGAAAGAAAGGAAGGAAGGUGAUGAGAUGGCAACUCCAGUCAAUAGAAACAGAGCUGCUCUCUUCAUAGCGCCUUGUCGCCAGGUCCAAAGGCACUCCUGGAGCCAAGCCUUCCCUCCGCUGAAGGCACAGGACCCACCGAGGGCCAUCCUCUGCUUCUUCUGGCUGGAAACAUCACAGUGCCUCCUGUCGGCCCCCAAUCCGGGUUUCUCCCAUGGUGCUGCUGAGACCCAGCACUGCCAAGCACAUCCUGGCCAGGCACCCUUCAAAGCAACGUCUCACGUGGCCACAAACCUAACUUUUGCCUUUUCCCAGGAAUAAGGAUUGAACUCAGAAAUUGAAAGUGAGUUGGCGUUUUGCAAUUGACAUCUUGAAAGUGGAAAGAACACAUUUUCAAAAGCUAGCUAGCUCCACACCUACAUGAAGAGGCAGAGGAAGGUUACCUUGGUUUCCCUGUUCUCCAGACCACACCCAUCACUUUGGUGACAAUCAUUUCUUUAUUGGUCUUAAGCUUCCCUCAGUCCCCUGAGUCCACGUAAGUGAAGGAGGUUCAGGUCCCCACAGGGGCUGCUUAGCUUCUCUUUGCUGCUCCUCAGCUGUUCCCUCCUUCCUGGUGGCCUAUGGCUGUGUGAUGCUUCUGCCUCUCCAUCUACUCUCUCAGUCCGGCAUCCACGACAUUUGCUCCCCCCACCCCCACCAAUGCACUAGACGUGGCGUAACGUGCCUCCCACACACACAGCACCAGCACCUGCAGCGGUCAUCACUGUACCCAGCCCCACUUACCUCAGUGCCUAGUAUACAGCAGGCAGUGAGUAAGCAUUUAUUGACAGGCUGACCAACUGGCUAUAGGUAAGAUUCUUGCCUUUUGGGACAACCUCCCUACCGCUGAGAAGUCUAUUAUCUUUGCUCAAGAGUUGUAACUCAGUGACGGAAAUUCAGACAGUUAAUUAUCUUUCUUUAGGCUAGGUUAUUUAUGGAAAUAGGAUGCUUGGUGGCUUGCCCUGACAUCCCAAGUUCCUUGAGAAGUUGUGAAAUAACUGCCCUUCUGUAAUUCCAUUAAUUUUUUAAUGGUCACCUAAGUUAAGUAGUUUCUACAUAAUUUUCAUAUGCAAAUUCUGAGGCCUAAGUGUUUCAAAUUCAAUGAAAGUUAACGGUGUAUAUUUUCAUUUUUGAAAACUCACACUGAGAUAAAAGUCUUAGGUAAAAAUAUUCACAGCAGUUGGCAGAAUUAUUUGAGCAAUUAUUUAAUGUAAAGGAAAUGAUCUCUUGAAUUAAAAAGUUACAGAGAACGACCUUCAGAACUGUCAUUUUAAGGCAAGAUUGCACAGGUGUGACUGUUUUCACUGUCCCAGAGCACAUUUGUAAGUCAAACAAGUGCAUAAAUACCAAAACAGAAGUCAGAAAAUUAUGACUGAGUUCCUCUGUUACCACCAUUCCAAACGAUCUCUUUGCAAACAAGGAGCUUUCUCUUAAAAACAUUCUGAGCACUUUAACCACAGAUGUUCUCUUAAAAGAAUCUGUAUGUCUCAUUGACUAUAAAACAGUGACACACACAAAUAUACCAAAAGAGAUAGGAGAGCCACAUUACCCUAGAAUACACACAAAUUGCAACUCAAAUAGGGACAGAAGGAAGGAAAAAGCAAGGCAAAUAUGUUGCAUACAUUUUGGAGUUUGGAGAGAGGCAGUCAAGACAGUGGACUGUAAGUAUUUUCUGGAUGUCUGAUUUUCACUGUAGGCAUGUGUCAAAUUUGCUUCUUUGACCAACAAUU